GUCAAUUGCCCAGAUCUGCAAGCCUCGGCUUGCAAAAUCCUGGUUGACCAGCUUCAGGCUGUCGAAAGACUGGUUUUGGUUGGGUUGGUUGGGAAAAUUCAGGCACCCUGGGGUAAAACUCCAAGCCCCUGCUCUGCGGUCUGUUGUCCAACGCCCUGAUGAAUCAAGGGCAGUGCGACAGAUGCCAGGCCUUCGGCUUUGGCGAAGAAGUAACUUUCGGCUCAAGCCG
rnacentral:sRNA from 1 species